rnacentral:rRNA from 1 species
UACGUAGGGUGCAAGCGUUGUCCGGAAUUAUUGGGCGUAAAGAGCUCGUAGGCGGUUUGUCGCGUCUGCUGUGAAAACUCGGGGCUUAACUCCGGGCCUGCAGUGGGUACGGGCAGACUAGAGUGCGGUAGGGGAGACUGGAAUUCCUGGUGUAGCGGUGAAAUGCGCAGAUAUCAGGAGGAACACCGGUGGCGAAGGCGGGUCUCUAGUACGGUACUGACGCUGAGACGCGAAAGCGUGGGGAGCGAACAGG